rnacentral:rRNA from 1 species
UACGUAGGGGGCAAGCGUUGUCCGGAUUUAUUGGGCGUAAAGAGCGUGUAGGCGGCCAGGUAGGUCAGCUGUGAAAACUCGAGGCUCAACCUCGAGACGUCGGUUGAAACCAUCUGGCUAGAGUCCGGAAGAGGAGAGUGGAAUUCCUGGUGUAGCGGUGAAAUGCGCAGAUAUCAAGUGGAACACCAGUGGCGAAGGCGAGUCCCUGGACAACUCCUGACACUGAGGCACGAAAGCUAGGGGAGCAAACAGG